GCUGCUAAUACCGGAUGUGUCGUAGCAAUACGAGAAAGGCCCGCAAGGGUCGCCAGAGGACGGGUCCGCGUCCCAUCAGCUAGUUGGUGAGGUAAUGGCUCACCAAGGCGAAGACGGUAGGACUGGGGUCUGAGAGGAUGAUCAGCCACACUGGAACUGAGACACGGUCCAGACUCCUACGGGGGCAGCAGUGGGGAAUAUUGCGCAAUGGGCGAAAGCCUGACGCAGCCACGCCGCGUGAGCGAUGAAGGUCUUCGGAUCGUAAAGCUCUGUGGGGGAGAAGAAGAAAGUCGGUGAAGAGCCGGCCCUGACGGUAUCCCCUUAGCAAGCACCGGCUAACUCCGUGCCAGCAGCCGCGGUAAUACGGAGGUGCAAACGUUGCUCGGAAUCAUUGGCGUAAAGCGCGCGUAGGCGGCUGAACAAGUUGGAUGUGAAAGCCCUGGGCUCAACCUAGGAUGUGCAUUCAAAACUGUUCGGCUUGAGUC
rnacentral:rRNA from 1 species